rnacentral:rRNA from 1 species
GUGGGGAAUAUUGGGCAAUGGGCGCAAGCCUGACCCAGCAACGCCGCGUGAAGGAAGAAGGCUUUCGGGUUGUAAACUUCUUUUAAGUGGGAAGAGUAGAAGACGGUACCACUUGAAUAAGCCACGGCUAACUACGUGCCAGCAGCCGCGGUAAUACGUAGGUGGCAAGCGUUGUCCGGAUUUACUGGGUGUAAAGGGCGUGCAGCCGGGCAUGCAAGUCAGAUGUGAAAUCUCAGGGCUUAACCCUGAAACUGCAUUUGAAACUGUAUGUCUUGAGUGCCGGAGAGGUAAUCGGAAUUCCUUGUGUAGCGGUGAAAUGCGUAGAUAUAAGGAAGAACACCAGUGGCGAAGGCGGAUUACUGGACGGUAACUGACGGUGAGGCGCGAAAGCGUGGGGAGCGAACAGGAUUAGAAACCCGAGUAGUCC